UACGAAGGGGGCUAGCGUUGUUCGGAUUUACUGGGCGUAAAGCGCACGUAGGCGGAUCUUUAAGUCAGAGGUGAAAUCCCAAGGCUCAACCUUGGAACUGCCUUUGAUACUGGGGAUCUUGAGUCCGGGAGAGGUGAGUGGAACUGCGAGUGUAGAGGUGAAAUUCGUAGAUAUUCGCAAGAACACCCGUGGCUAAGGCGGCUCUCUAGUACGGUACUGACGCUGAGACGCGAAAGCGUGGGGAGCGAACAGG
rnacentral:rRNA from 1 species